AUUUUAUUGACACCUUUCCAAACGAAUAUCCAAGACACAGCAGGCCAGCAGUUUUAAUGAAAUACGAUAAUAAUCCUAAUAAUAAGCUAAUAUAGCCAAACAUUUAAAACAACGCUCAAUAUGUGAUAAGACACAUGAUAAAAUAUUAAUAUAAAUGAAUAUACAUGUUGCUGCCAUAUUCAAUUUAACAAGCCAUAAUAGGUACAAACCAUAAUAUACCCACACCCAAAACAGAAUAGUGGUGCAGGGGAUGCUGGAGGCAAAAUGCAAAACUGUAGAAAGUCUCAGUGCACUUUCAGUCAGAUGCAAAUGUAUUUUAUUUACCAAGGCUGACAAGUGUCUGAGAAGCUUUUUCAUGAAUAUCUGGAAGUAAAUCUAAGUGGUCCUUCAGUUUCAUAAAUUCCAUCUCUAGACAGUUGGCACUGAUGCAGACAGUGGCAUACAUAUGAUAAUAUUCAUCCAUUGAAUUACUGCCCUGAUUUAUCAGCAUGAUGCUGUGUCCCAAAUGGUACCUUAGGUGGGGUCCAGUGGGACCCGGUAGGGGCUGGUGGAGGCCGGUAGGGGCUUGUUGGGGCUGGUGGAGUCUGGUAGGGGUCUAGGGGGGCCAGUAGGGGCCCAAGCCAGACUUCACUGACUGACAGCAGUAAAGAGCACACUACCACCGUCAUGGCUGUAGAGAAAACAUCUCAGAGGAAAUGAAACAAAAUAUGUUGUGGAGAGGGGACUCGUGCUGCUGGGCACGUUGUGGUGAGGGACAGAGCAGUGCAGACCGAUGAGGGAGGCUAAGAAAACAUGUAUCUUUAUUUACUGCUGUUGUUUUCAGAGUAGAGCUCGCUGUCUAUCACGUUCUCUUGGGCCUCUCUCUAAGAGGUCUGGUCCAGUAUGGUAUUGUACUGUAUUAGUUACCUCUUAUAACCCACAAUGAACCAAAAAUCACUUAAAUUCCUUAUACAUGCAUUGGCUUGGGACAGUUGUGAAUGCAUGCACUAAACCAGAUCAUGCAGAUCUCCAUUAGAAAGUAUGUAGAGCACCUGAAUUGUGAAUGAGUUUGUACUUAUCCAUAGUGUUUUUCAUCAAAUUGGAUGAUAUUUGGUGGAAACCAGUUCAAAGUAGAGUGACCCAAGUAUGAAUAAUGACUGUAUCUGGUACUGCACAUUGAUAAAGUUUGAUCAUAAAGUUACUGGUCCCCUCCCCCCAUGUCAAAGACUUGGAUUUAGGAGGCAGGCAUUGUCAAGGAUUUACUUCCGGCUUUAUGCAACACCACAUAAAGCCAGAAAUGUAAUACGGCAAUGAUAGCAUCUUACUGAACUAAUUUAAAUAUGUACCACCUUAAAACCGUCGUCUCAUGUGCCCCUACGCCUUGCUUUGGCUUUGUUUACAAACCUUAAGCUAGCUACUAGUAGCUAGCUCAAGCAGAAGGUAUGACCAAAGAUACUGCUAACCUUUCAUCUGUGGUAUGACUGUUAGCUACAGUAGCAAGCUACUUACCAGCAUGCCGGCAAAAGCACACUGUGUCGUAACUAGUGUAAAAUGUGUGUAAAAUGAGUGUAGAAUUAACCUUACAUAGUGUAACAUUAACCUUACACUAUUUCCCAAAGAAUGAAGACAUCCAACAGCAGUGGUUGCUUUUCAUUUGUUAGCUAGCUUACACUCGACGGGAUGACUGAAAAUUACGAUCAUGUCACGCGUGUGCAGUGCACAUUUCGAGUGAAGUUGCUCUAUCAAUUUGGGGAGAACAUUCGAUGGGUCUUGCCAGGAAGCUAAUCCUGAAGACGGAUGCAUCAUUGACAGUGGAUCUUGCAAGCACUGACCAUAAUGUAAGUAUCAGAGUUUGAUGAGUGUGACACAGUAGCCAACAUUUUUUUUUUUGGGGGGGGGGAUCACGUUAGAUAAUGCAACUGUGGCUGUGACUGCUUUGACUUGUGAACUGUAUAUUUUCUGUAACACACCUGAUAGUCACUAUAUGGUUUUUGUUCCUUCAUCCCUAAGACUCCUACAUUGAGUCUUACAACUGCCAGUACACAGCUGACACAAAAGAAUGUUGUCCACAAAAGGGGUUGUGUGUGUGUGUAGUAUUUGUAAUUUUACAGUUGUGUAGCUUGUGUCAUUGGGACUAAUCAUGAUGAUGAGGGGGAAUAUUAUUUCACUUUCCAUCUCCUUUUGUCUUUCCAAUUUCAUCAAGCUGUAAUGAUAGACAUUGUAGAAAAAUCAACAUCUCUCUGUCUGCACAGCUUCCCAGGCAACUGCAGCAGGAUUGAUGUGAUACAAAAUCAUCUUUACCAAGGCAAAGAAUGGGUGAUAUGCAGUGAAGCCUGUGAAGACAGACCUAACAUACUGCUAUGUUGACAGGCUCCUGGAUCUCCUCUUCAACGAGAUCACCCUUGAUAGAAUCACAGCACGUCUUAUUUGUCCCAUGCUUCAUAAACAUCAGGUGUAGACUAACAGUAAAAUGCUCCAGCGAAGUAUGUGGGGAAGCUGUGCAAUCUGUCCAUCUCAGGACCGCUGUCUGCCCAUUCUGAGAGGCCUGACUAGAAGGAGGAAAUGGAUUUGUCUCCCACUUCAUUCUUGGGGGUGACUGAAGCCAAGUGGGUGACUGACACCUGAUUAAUUGAAGCAGGGUUUAUGGGUCCCCUCCUCAUCAGUCUCUGUAGUUGUUGCAUUUCCUAAAUUCACUUUUACCUCAUACUUUAUGAUAUCACAUUGUUUUUUAUACCUUUAUUUAACUAGGCAAGUCGGUUAAGAACAAAUUCUUCUUUACAAGUAUAGCCUACCCCGGCCAAACCCUCCCCUAACCCAGACGACGCCGGGCCAAUUGUGCACCACCCUAUGGGACUCUCGAUCACGGCUGGUUGUGAUACAGCCCGGGAUCAAACCAGGGUCUGUAGUGACACCUCUAACACUGCGAUGCAGUGCCUUAGACCACUGAGCUACUCGGGAGUUACUUUGUCUAGUUUCUUUAUUCAAGCAUUCGGACGGGAGAUGAGUGUUACAAAUUGUACAAAUCAAUGGGUCCUGGGACACUGUAGGGUGGCCUAGUGCCUAUAUUAGGCUUAUGGCUGAAGUUUUGUUUUUUAAUAUCAAACUAUUUCUCACCUUUAUUUCUCAUGAUUGUUCAUGUUGCUCAAUAUUUUGGCUAAGCUGGCCUAUUGUAAAAUAUUUAAUAAAUGUCUGAUCAAUAUA